AGUGAACGCUGGCGGUAGGCCUAACACAUGCAAGUCGAACGGCAGCACAGUAAGAGCUUGCUCUUACGGGUGGCGAGUGGCGGACGGGUGAGGAAUACAUCGGAAUCUACUUUUUCGUGGGGGAUGACGUAGGGAAACUUACGCUAAUACCGCAUACGACCUACGGGUGAAAGCAGGGGAUCUUCGGACCUUGCGCGAUUGAAUGAGCCGAUGUCGGAUUAGCUAGUUGGCGGGGUAAAGGCCCACCAAGGCGACGAUCCGUAGCUGGUCUGAGAGGAUGAUCAGCCACACUGGAACUGAGACACGGUCCAGACUCCUACGGGAGGCAGCAGUGGGGAAUAUUGGACAAUGGGCGCAAGCCUGAUCCAGCCAUACCGCGUGGGUGAAGAAGGCCUUCGGGUUGUAAAGCCCUUUUGUUGGGAAAGAAAAGCAGCAGGUUAAUACCCCGCUGUUCUGACGGUACCCAAAGAAUAAGCACCGGCUAACUUCGAG
rnacentral:rRNA from 1 species